UAUUUGAAUUUCACAUCAAAUUUUAAUAAAAUAAAUUGUUAAGUUGAAUUGUAUCUCUUUAGUGCAACUUUCUAUCUUUUUUUCUAGUUUCUAAAGUACUAGAAUGGGAAUCACUACCUUUGACUUGCAUCUAGCAGCUAGUCUGAUCAUUUCCCAUCAUUUAUCUGCCGCAGAUGUGGCAUUGUAUGGAGUUGGCUCAUUUAUGGCAAAUUAUGGCUCAAAUCGUAAUGGGAAGCUUGCCUCAGAGUCGGGUGAUGGAUAGCCUCAAAUGCUAACGAUCUUGGGACUGGAUAUUCAUCCACGAAUAUCUAACAGAAAAUCUAAUCAAAGAAACGAACUUCGCUUUGCUUAAUAAGCCCGAAGAACUGGGCCCUCAAGAGGUCCACAAGCCAAAAGUCGGGCACACAAUCUGGGACCAUGUUGGUGCCUUUGUUCUUGUUGGAGGCACAAGUGCUUAACAAGCUGUUUUGCAUGGGGCCAGAUCUCUCAGGUGCCCUACGAACCACAAAACCACCGAGCCACCGAACCACUACCAAAGCCCGGUAGCCCUGAAACAAUGCACUUAAUGUGGGAAAAAACGUCAAGAAUUUGCACGCCAGCCCGGGGACCACAAGAGAAUUCGCCCAAUUUCCCUCGGUGCCUCGUUCCUUCGACCCCAGCUUCUUCAUAUGCAAAAAGCCUGCAUUGAGGCAGCUGCAAGUUAAGCCAAAAGUUUAUACCCUUUCAAGCAUUUUUCUGAUAGGGGUUGGUUAACCAAUACCAAAGUUAUUCGUAUAACACUUCAAAAAUGGGUUUAGUAAACUGGAAAUUAUAAUGUUUUACAUAUAAUAUUCUAAGCAUGUAUAUCUUAAAUUUUGAUAACUUAAAGAAGAAACUUUAAAAUAGAGUGUAUUUAAAGUUGCGGUUUUAAAGAAACAGUUUAUAGGCCUUACCUGCAACUUGAACUUAUCUGGCCAACUUAGCUCUGGGCACGAAACAAUUCACACUUGGCCAAGAGCUCGUGGUGCAGGCGGGCGGAGCGGGGGAAGGACGGGCCCGUUGCGUGUCGGCUGCUCUGUGGCCGCUGAUCAUUUGCUUAAAUAGCCCAAAGGGGACAACGGACGAUCCGAUUCAUUGCGGAAUAUGGGUGGCUCGGCUCAAAUCUCAUUUGGCCACAAGGAACAGGACCAUGAACCAGAACAAAAAGGUGUUGAGUGUGUGGAGCGGAUUUUGCGUGUUUAUCGCGAUGCACAAGCCAAGGAAAAUUAUUAAGGUUUUUAAUGGUUCAAUGGAGUGGGGAGCAGUGGCGAGUGUAUGAGUUUUAAGUUAUGUAUGCCUUAUUGUUUUGGAAUCUAAAACAUAUGAAACACACUCUUCCCUCUUCGUAGAUACCACAGUCAUAGAUGUUGAAGAUCAGACCUCUAACAAUCGCCAUCUGGAAGAGAGACAACCAGAGUCGAAGCGAUUAUGAGAAUCCCAGUUGGCACCAUGACACGAUACCAGUGGGUUUUCCAUGCCAUUCCCUCACCGUUUCCAGGUGUUUUUUUUUCUAGCCACCCACAUAAAAACGAAUGUGGUUUACCCACCGGCUGCUCACUGGCGGGCUAAUAGACAUUUUGCCUAUUUUAAUAAGUGGCAAAAAGGCGUGAAAUAGUGACUGCCUUCGGGAUGUUUGGGAAAUACCUUCGGUGGGCUCUAUCGCAGCCUAUCGAUGGCAGGAGCUGCAGCAUUGGCCACCUUGGUGGCUGAACUGGAAGUUAAAGUUGUUGCCUUGCUCGCCAGCUAAAUAUGAUUUUUUCUGCAGCUGUUUUUUGUCUCUACCUUUCCCCAUACCUGACUGCCAGUCCUACGAAAGAACACUUAGCGAAAAUUCGAGCAAAUAGUAUUAGAAGAAGUAGUAGCAGUAGAAAAUUUGGUCUCUAUAUAAAGAAGCUCAAAAAUGCUUUGAAAUGUAUACUUCUUGUGGUAUUUGAUUUCAU